rnacentral:rRNA from 1 species
UGCCAGCCGCCGCGGUAAUACGGAGGGUGCGAGCGUUAAUCGGAAUCACUGGGCGUAAAGCGUACGUAGGCGGCCUAGCAGGUGGGGUGUGAAAUCCCUCAGCUCAACUGAGGAGCUGCGCUCCAAACCGCUAGGCUUGAGGGAGACAGAGGUGAGCGGAACUGAUGGUGGAGCGGUGAAAUGCGUUGAUAUCAUCAGGAACACCGGUGGCGAAGGCGGCUCACUGGGUCUCUUCUGACGCUGAGGCACGAAAGCUAGGGGAGCGAACGGGAUUAGAUA